UUUUAAAAAAAAAAAAAAAAAAAUCCUAUGUAUUUCAGUCCAGCUCCUGUAUCUAUAAUAUAUAUUUUAGUCCUGGAAGUGAACUUUGUGUUGAUAGCACAACAGAAGAGCAAAGAGAAUCAGAAUUAUUGUUUGUAUACAGAUUGCCAUAUAGAAUAUUUAAAUUACCGUAAGUCUCCUUACAGAAGACGAGUCAUGAGAUAUUUUGAUAUAUUUGCCUCUUGCACUUUGCUUGAAAGCGAAAACUUCAUGAUGCUCAAGUGUCAAUGUGCAUGGCAGAGUUUUAUUGAGAGGACUUGUGAUGCAAAAUGAUUCAGAG
rnacentral:misc_RNA from 1 species